rnacentral:rRNA from 1 species
UACGUAGGUGGCGAGCGUUGUCCGGAUUUACUGGGCGUAAAGAGCGCGCAGGCGGUCGUACAAGUCGCGUGUGAAAGCCCCCGGCUCAACUGGGGAGGGUCACGCGAUACUGUUCGACUCGAAGGCAGGAGAGGGAAGUGGAAUUCCCGGUGUAGAGGUGAAAUUCGUAGAUAUCGGGAGGAACACCAGUGGCGAAGGCGGCGACCUGGGCCAAUAUUGACGCUGAGGUGCGAAAGCGUGGGGAGCAAACAGG